rnacentral:lncRNA from 1 species
ACCCUCUGCCCUCUGAGCAUAAGAGUUACAGGUCUAUAUUGUCAUGGCUGACUUUUACCAUGGGUGCUUGAGAUCUAAACUCAGAUCCUCCUGUUUGCAUGGCUGCUUCCCCCUAAGACAGGGUUCAAGACCUCAGCAUUGGACACGAGCAAGAUAAGGUUUUUGUAGUUCAUGGAUAGGGAGCUUCCAAAUGAGGAAUUUGGCAUGCAAAUAAUUCAGGCUGCAGAAGCAAAACAUAACAGAAAGAAGGGCUAAGUGCAGUUUCUGAUCAAAGAGGAACACAGAAGUCAGAGAGAAGAUGCUAAAAGAGAGGUGGUCCUAUCAGAUCAGCCAAGUUAUUUGGAAGUAGGAAAAUAUUCAGGUGUGAACCUCUCCACAGCAAUUUCCCACCUUUAAUAAAUAACAACAGAAUUCAAUCC